UGGGGAAUAUUGGACAAUGGGCGCAAGCCUGAUCCAGCCAUGCCGCGUGAGUGACGAAGGUCUUCGGAUUGUAAAACUCUUUUGGCGGGGACGAUAAUGACGGUACCCGCAGAAUAAGCCCCGGCUAACUUCGUGCCAGCAGCCGCGGUAAUACGAAGGGGACUAGCGUUGUUCGGAAUCACUGGGCGUAAAGCGCACGUAGGCGGAUUUGUAAGUCAGGGGUGAAAUCCCGGGGCUCAACCUCGGAACUGCCUUUGAUACUGCGGAUCUCGAGUCCGAUAGAGGUGAGUGGAAUUCCUAGUGUAGAGGUGAAAUUCGUAGAUAUUAGGAAGAACACCGGUGGCGAAGGCGGCUCACUGGAUCGGUACUGACGCUGAGGUGCGAAAGCGUGGGGAGCAACCAGGAUUAGAUACCCUCGUAGUCCCUGAGCGGGCUGGCAAGGCGCAU
rnacentral:rRNA from 1 species